rnacentral:lncRNA from 1 species
AACUUUGGAGGUGGUGGAGGUAAUUUUGGCUGUGGUGGAAACUUUGGUGGAGGAGGAGGCUAUGGUGGUGGAGGUGGUGGCAGCAGAGGUAGUUAUGGAGGAGGUGAUGGUGAUAUAAUGGAUUUGGAGGUGAUGGUGGCAACUAUGGCGGCGGUCCUGGUUAUAGUAGUAGAGGGGGCUAUGGUGAUGGUGGAUAUAAUGGAUUUGGAGGUGAUGGUGGCAACUAUGGCAGUGGUCCUGGUUGUAGUAGUAGAG